ACCAAAACCCAUUCUUCUCUCUUCUACAGUAAAGUCUUAGCUACACGUGUGACCAUCUAGCAGGGACUGCAUUUCCCAGGCCUCUUUGUAAUUAGUGUGGAUGUGCAUUGUUGCCAAAGGAAGCUAUGAAUGCUGCUUUGGGGAUGGAGGUUUUGUUGUUGUUGUUUGUUUGUUUGUUUGUUUGUUUUUGAGAUGGAGUUUCACCCUUUUUGCCCAAGCUGGAGUGCAAUGGCACCAUCUCAGCUCACUGCAACCUCUGCCUCCCAGGUUCAAGUGAUUCUCCUGCCGCACCUCCUGAGCAGCUGGGAUUACAGGCAUGCACCACCAUGCCUGGCUAAUUUUGUAUUUUUAGUAGAGACAGGGUUUCGCCAUGUUGGCCAGGCUGGUCUCAAACUCCUGACCUCAGGUGAUCCACCUGCCUCAGCAUCCCAAAGUGCUGUGAUUACAGGCAUGAGCCACCGUGCCCAGCCUGGGACGGAGUUUUUAAGACGCUCCCCUCUUCCUUCCAUGGGUCACUGAGAGGAGUCCCUGGCCCCAGCCAGCAGCCUGCAUUCCUGAGGGCAUAGCUAAGGCCCAGCAAAGGCCAGAGCUCGGAGGCAGCUAGAACUGAAAGACAUCUGACCUGUGUUUCUUCCUCCAAGGUCUGUCCCCGACAACCCAACCACAGCAGAUUCUACGGCAAGUUUAGCAUGGAAGUUUGGGCUGGGCUGAGUCCUGCUGCGUGUAGCCUCUAGGGUGCCUCAUGCUGUGUGUUGGACGGAUAGAUGGACAAACAGAUGGAUGGACAAACCAUUCCCUCUCUCAGCCUCAAGCUCUUCCCCUGGAAGAUGGGGGCGAUGGUGACGCCCCCUGCAGGAUUAGCAUGAAGACUAGCUGAGGGCACAGGUGUGGGCACCAGCACCUGCCCAAGACAGAGAAGGUGUCCUGCCACUCCAGAUCCCUCCUCACAGUGGACAUCCCCUUGCUCUGGCCCCAGGAGGUGCUCAGAAGCCACAUCAACUGUGGCUACAAAU
rnacentral:lncRNA from 10 species